rfam:Roseburia sp. CAG:100 genomic scaffold, scf166
CAAGGUUUUGAAACCAUGCCGAAGACAGUAGGUGCUGAUGGGCAACCGGAAGCGUAAGCGUAACGCCUACCGAGGAAAAGAGUUUAACAAGAUUACUUUUACCUCUCUGUCUUUGAAUAGGGAGGUUUUCUUAUUAUAUGA